rnacentral:lncRNA from 1 species
GAAAGAACUUAAUAAAACGAUUGAAAAAUAUCUAGCCAAACAGAAUGAGAAAUAGAGAGAAUAGAAAAUAAACUUCUUUUCUUUGUAUUCAAAAAUGCUUGCUUCUUAAUUCUCAAUGUAUAGUAUUUAUAGACUUUGUUGACUAGUCUAAAAGCUGAACAACAACCUUACCAGACUCACAACUAACUAACAAUUUCAUAUACUCUAAUAUUCAUCCAUCUUCUCCACAGGCCACACCCGUAGAAAACUCCUCAAACGAGUAAAACUCGAUAGCGAAAGCGGCUUAGUCAGAACAUCAGCGACUUGAUCACACGCUGGAACCUCACCAAUGGCAAUAGUCCCAUUAGCAACCUUUUCACGAACAAAAAACAAAUCUAACUCAACAUGCUUAAACUUUGAAUGAAGAACAGGAUUAGCAGCAACUGCAACUGCCCCAGAACUAUCACACCAAAUAUCAGGAAUACUAGUAGACUGAACACGCAAUUCUUGAAGUAAUGAUAAAAGCCACGUAACCUCACUAGUAACUGCAGCAAGACUCCGAUAUUCUGCCUCAGCAGUAGACCGAGCAACAACCUGCUAUUUCUUCGUACACCACGAAACAGGAGAAUGUUCGAAAUAAACACAGUAUCCAGUAGUAGAUCUCCGGUCAUCAAAAUCUAAUCCCCAGUUUGCAUCAGCAUACCCAACUAAUGACAAACCGGUGGACGGAUGAAAUACAAUCCCAAAAUCAAUUGUUCCACCUAGAUAUCUCAAAAUGCGCUUCAGAGCUGUCAUAUGAACAAAAGUGGGACAAUACAUAAACUGACAUAUUCGAUUUACAGCAUAUGCAACAUCAGGCCGCGUAAGAGUGACGCACUGUAACGCCCCUGCAAGACUCCUAUAUUCAGUUGGAUCCUCUAAACGCUCACCAUCAUUUCUAGUCAUGAUAGAGGAACUAAUCAUCGGUGUAUGAACACUUUUCGCAUUUUCCAUCGAGCAUCUUAUAAGAAUAUCACGUAUAUACUUCUUCUGACAAAGAUGAAGACAGCCUGAUGAAGAACAAGUCACCUCUAUCCCAAGAAAGUAAUGAAGAUCGCCCAUGUCUUUAAGUGAGAACUUACUAUUCAGCAAUUGAACAAACCACUCUAUAACAGAAGGCACAUCACCAGUAACAAUAAUAUCAUCAACAUACACAAGAACAUACAACGUUGAAGCUGGUACAAUUCGAACAAAUAAUGAAGCAUCAGACUUUGAUACCACAAACCCCACAGAUACUAGAAAUCCUUUUAACUUCUCAAACCAGGCACGAGGAGCCUGACGAAGACCAUACAGCGCUUUCUUCAAACGACACACCAGAGGUCUACCAUCUGAACCAUACUGAACAUAGCCGGGAGGUUGAUGCAUGAAAACUUCAGUGUCAAGAUCGCCAUUUAGAAACGCAUUAUUCACAUCCACUUGCCAAAGUGACCACCCCCUAGACACAGCAACAGACAAAAUAACUCUGAUAGUAGCCGGUUUAACUACCGGACUAAACGUUUCCUUAAAAUCACAACCCGAAACUUGGGAGUAACCUUUUGCAACUAAGCGAGCCUUAUGUCGAGCAAUAGUACCAUCAGAAUUCUUCUUAACUCUGAACAACCAUUUGCACCCAAUGACCUUACGAUUAGACGGAGCAGGAACAAGCUCCCAUGUGGAAUUACGCAUUAGAGCAUCAUACUCAUCUUGCGCAGUAGCGCGCCACUCAACAGUAGCUAGAGCUUCUUCAAUUGUAGACGGUUCAACAGCUUCAACAUUUAAAACCUUAGGCUUGUAAAUUCCAGCUUUAGCUCUAGUAAUCAUUGAGUGAACAUUACCCACAGGUGGCCUACUAAUCUGACUAUCAGAUACCGACGAACCUGCAGACAUUCUCACAUUAGAGUGAGAGUGAGCAUUGGUAUCACUUGAUGAUCCCGAGUCAUGCACUGCUGGAAGAUUAUUCGACCCAGUCCCAACAUCAGCUGAAGAAUCAUGAGACUGAGGCUGCUCCAAAUUAACAUCUAAUAUAUGAUCAUUAGACUGAGACUGCAACCCUUGUAGUGACGGUGUUAUCACGCAAGGCUCAAGAGUGGAGGAAAAAGACGGCCACACAAGAGGAACAACCGUCAAACUAGUCUGACUAGUCGUCGAUACAAACUUGUCGGGACUAGUCUCAGCAAACAAAAACCUUUGCUCAUCAAACACCACAUGCCUUGAAAUUAUAACCUUACCAUCUGGUAAAAGACACUGAUACCCCUUGUGACGAGGACUGUAGCCCAGAAAUAUAGACGGCUGAGACUGAAAAUCCAACUUAUGACUUACAAACGGAUGUAAAUAAUGAUAACAACAGCAUCCAAAUACUCGAAGAUGAUCAUAGGUCGGAUCAUUCCCAUAGAGUGCCUUAAACGGAGAACUGUCCUGAAGAACAACAGUAGGAAGUCGAUUUAUAAGAUGGACCGCACAACAAAACGCAUACCCCCAGUAUUCCAUAGGUAAAUUUGCAUGUGCCAAUAAUGUAAUACCCACUUCAACAAUGUGACGAUGUUUACGCUCAGCUACUCCAUUUUGUUCUGAAGUAUACGGACAGGUCAGUCGAUGUAUAAUUCCUUGAGAUUCUAGGACAGAUGUAAACCCACGGUAUUCUCCUCCCUAAUCGCUCUGGAAUUGCUUAAUAGACUUGCCAAACUGUGUCUUAACUAAUUUUUGAAACUGAGUAAAGCAUUCUAAUGCUUGGGCUUUUUGACGUAAAAGAUAAACCCAAGUAAACCUAGUGCACAUGUCAAUAAACGAAACAUAAUAUCUCUUAUCACCAUAUGCAACAGAUGCGGGACCCCAAAGAUCAGACACAACCAAUUCAAAAGGACGAUAGCAAGUAGUCGAAGGGGAGAAAGGCAACUUAUGUGACCUGCCUUUUUGACAUGCAGUACAUAUACCAUCCAAACUAUUUUUACUUGAAGCAACAUUACAUUUAUUUAAAAUUGUUUUAACCACAGAAGUUGAUGGGUGGCCUAAACGAUUAUGCCAUAAAGCAAACACAUUAUUAUUUUUAACUACAUGUGGAACUUGCAAAUGAGCAACAAAUGGAUCAAUUGUAGACGGAGUAGAAACCACUGGCACAGAAAAUUGAUAUAGUCCAUCAUGAAUGCGGCCCGUCAGCAAUAUCUCCCGAGUCACCAUAUCCUUAAUAACACAAUGGGUAGGAUGAAACUCAAAAAACACACCAUUAUCUCGAGCAAACUGUGAGACAGAUAAGAGAUUUUUCCGUAUACUUGGCACACAUAAAACAUUUGAUAACCGUAAAGAUUUAUACUGAGUAGGGAAAAUAGUAGUACCAAUUGACAAGAUGACCGCAGGAGUACCAUCACCCAUUAAAAGAGAUGACGUACCCGAAUAUGGCGUGACAUCACGUAAAGCUGACACAUCAUGGCAGACGUGAUGACUCGCACCCGAGUAGGAUACCAAGAAGUGGUGCCACCGCGCACUAGAACAUACGGAUCAUCAUUACCAGUACUAGAUCCAAGUUGAGCAGUGUUGACAUGAGAGCCGAAUACUGAAGGAUCAGAAUAAUCAGAUGCAUGUAAAUCCCCUAGCCGAGGAAGCCCAAUACAUGGUUCGUACCCAGUAUAAACUCGAGCACGCGGUUUGGUAAAUCAUAGAACCCGAUCAACACCAAUCGGUUCAGGCGAACCGGGAUCACUUUGAUCAACUUGAACAAAAUUAGAUGAUGGAACACCAUUUAUAUUUGGGUCAAUAUUCGGCCUAUUGGAGGAAUUUACCACAUUUGGCCCUUGCAACACAUGCAGUCCAUUUUCAGCAGCAAAUUCCACUAGGGCAUUUCUAUUAAAGCCAUUGCUAUUAAAACCAUGCCCAUCAUCAUUUCCAAACUGACACAAAUUUGAUUUAAAAUUAUUCCCAUAUGGCCUGCCAUAUUCAUUUGCAUAUGACACCUGGGGCCCACGUGCCAAUUUUUCACUUUGCAUGCCAGCCCACCAAUUUUGACCACUAUUUUGAUUGACUUUGCAAGCCAUUACUCCAAUUUUGACCACCAUUUCGAUUUUGACUUGAAUAGUUCCCUUGUCCAUAAAUUAUUCUCUGACUUUUGUGAUAAGGAGCCAUACACUGUUCUUCUUCCUCUUGCGCACACACUCCAAACUUAGCCUUCUCAACACCCGACGGAGCCCCUUGAUGAGAGACCGAUGACACCACAGAUGAGUCGUUCGAGUCUCUAUGAUAACGAUAGUAGCACUUUUGAGCCACAUGACCGAACCGACUGCAGAUCUGGCAUUGAAUGCGAGAUCGGAAAGUUCUGCCACUGCCACGAACAGGCGCACGGCCUCCAUGACUGACUCCUUCAACCGACGACGCAUCCUCAACCAGAUUCACGUUCAAACUUACAUCCUGCAACACUCGAGCUUGACGGCUCUCACAAUUGACCAACGCAUCUACCAAACGUUGUAACGGUAAAACUCCAGGUGACAACCGAGCAGAGGAAAUAACCGCCUCAAAGUCCGACGGCAACCCCGCCAGCACCACUUCGAUCUUCUCUUCGUCGGAGAUACGAGAUCCAGACGCAUCUAACAAAGCACACAAAUCUUUAAUCUGGUUAACAUACGCCUUAAUAGAAAGAUUACCUUUCUUCAAUGAGUGAAGCUCAUGCCGAAUCCUUGACUGCUUGGCACCCGUAUCAGCUGCAAAAAGAUUAACAGCCAUACUCCAUAUGUUGCACGCUGUGCAAGCAUCAUCAAAGGAGGAUUGAUGAGAAGAAGUUACCGUAGACAAAAGCCAGGACAUCAACAGCUGAUCUUGCUGUGUAAACACCUGAGCCGCCAGAUUUGGAGCACGAGAACCAUCGGGUAGAAUAACAAAUCGGGAUGGCGGAGCAACAGUGCCAUCUAAGAAACCUGUGAGUCCAUAGCCAUUAACAAUCAGUUUUACCUGUUUACGCUAUUGAAGGUAAGUACCUUCAUCGAGUUUGACCACUUCAUGUCGAGGAAGAACGGUUGUGACUCGAUCGGCAGUAAACACACCAGAGCUAGGUUCACCAGAUGCGGAAUCAGCGGAAGCCAUGAGAAGCAAUCACCAGAAUCAAUUGGUGAAUGAUACCAUGAAAGAACUUAAUAAAACGAUUGAAAAAUAUCUAGCCAAAUAGAAUGAGAAAUAGAGAGAAUAGAAAAUAAACUUCUUUUCUUUGUAUUCAAAAAUGCUUGCUUCUUAAUUCUCGAUGUACAGUAUUUAUAGACUUUGUUGACUAGUCUAAAAGCUGAACAACAACCUUACCAGACUCACAACUAACUAACAAUUUCCUAUACUCUAAUAGAAUGUUACUUAUUUUGAGAAUUAACCUUUUGGUUUGCUGUCCGGUAUUUCCAUUCAUCGGUUCACUUCAAUGGCAGACUCAGAUUCUUCAAGAC